GACGAAGGUGGCGAGCGUUGUUCGGAAUCACUGGGCGUAAAGGGCGCGUAGGCGGGAUGGCAAGUCAGUCGUGAAAUCUCUCGGCUCAACCGAGAAACGUCGGCUGAUACUGCCGUUCUUGAGGGAUGCAGAGGAGACUGGAAUUCCCGGUGUAGCGGUGAAAUGUGUAGAGAUCGGGAGGAACACCGGUGGCGAAGGCGGGUCUCUGGGCAUCUCCUGACGCUGAGGCGCGAAAGCGUGGGGAGCAAACGGG
rnacentral:rRNA from 1 species